rnacentral:rRNA from 2 species
GGGCUGCCCGAGCUCUGAUAGAGUUUGAUCCUGGCUCGGACGAACGCUGGCGGCGUGCCUAAUACAUGCAAGUCGAGCGGACGGAUGGGAGCUUGCUCCCUGAAGUCAGCGGCGGACGGGUGAGUAACACGUGGGCAACCUGCCUGUAAGACUGGGAUAACUCCGGGAAACCGGGGCUAAUACCGGAUAACUCUUUUCCUCACAUGAGGAAAAGCUGAAAGAUGGUUUCGGCUAUCACUUACAGAUGGGCCCGCGGCGCAUUAGCUAGUUGGUGAGGUAACGGCUCACCAAGGCCACGAUGCGUAGCCGACCUGAGAGGGUGAUCGGCCACACUGGGACUGAGACACGGCCCAGACUCCUACGGGAGGCAGCAGUAGGGAAUCUUCCGCAAUGGACGAAAGUCUGACGGAGCAACGCCGCGUGAGUGAUGAAGGUUUUCGGAUCGUAAAACUCUGUUGUCAGGGAAGAACAAGUACCGGAGUAACUGCCGGUACCUUGACGGUACCUGACCAGAAAGCCACGGCUAACUACGUGCCAGCAGCCGCGGUAAUACGUAGGUGGCAAGCGUUGUCCGGAAUUAUUGGGCGUAAAGCGCGCGCAGGCGGUUCCUUAAGUCUGAUGUGAAAGCCCCCGGCUCAACCGGGGAGGGUCAUUGGAAACUGGGGAACUUGAGUGUAGAAGAGAAGAGUGGAAUUCCACGUGUAGCGGUGAAAUGCGUAGAGAUGUGGAGGAACACCAGUGGCGAAGGCGACUCUUUGGUCUGUAACUGACGCUGAAGCGCGAAAGCGUGNGGAGCAAACAGGAUUAGAUACCCUGGUAGUCCACGCCGUAAACGAUGAGUGCUAAGUG